ensembl:lncRNA
CACAGCACCAUUCCUAAAGAAUUCAGGCUAAGUGAAGAGAAAUAAUUUCCUUUAGGGGAAAGAGAGCAUCCUCUGUGGACCUGCCAGAGGCCAGGCAUUUUCCCUAGAGGAUGGGAAGAAGAUAGAAGAGGUACGAAGGAUGUGGGAUAUGGACGAGGGACUUUGUCGUUGCAUUGUCCCAGUACCAUCAGUGGAGAAACUGACCCAGUAGAACUUAAAACACACUUGGUAAGUAGAAGAAACAAAUAAGGAAUUUUUUCCCCCUUUAGAAUUUUUUUCUAGAUUUAUAAUUCACUU